CCUGGUUAAUUCCGUUAACGCACGAGACCUUAACCUGCUAAAUAUUUACACGUAAUUUCGAUUAUGUGGGCAACUUCUUAGAGGUACUUUGUGUGUAUA
rnacentral:rRNA from 14 species